rnacentral:rRNA from 1 species
UACGGAGGGUGCAAGCGUUAUCCGGAUUCACUGGGUUUAAAGGGUGCGUAGGCGGGCAGGUAAGUCAGUGGUGAAAUCUCCGAGCUUAACUCGGAAACUGCCGUUGAUACUAUUUGUCUUGAAUAUUGUGGAGGUAAGCGGAAUAUGUCAUGUAGCGGUGAAAUGCUUAGAUAUGACAUAGAACACCAAUUGCGAAGGCAGCUCGCUACACGAAUAUUGACUCUGAGGCACGAAAGCGUGGGGAUCAAACAGG